GGAACAUAUAAAAACAUAACAGAACACAGGCUGAGAUGUGUGGAUCACUUGAGGCCAGGAGUUAGAGACCAGCUUGGGCCAACAUGGUAAAACCCCAUCUGUACUAAAAAUACAAAAAAUUAUCCGGUAUGGUGGUGCAUGCCUGUAGUUCCAGCUACUUGGGAGGCUUAGGAAGGAGAAUUGCUUGAGCCUGGGAAGCAGAGGUUGCAGUGAGCAGAGAUCAGGCCACUGCACUCCAGUCUGGGUGACAGAGAGCAAGACUGUGUCUCAAAAAAAUUAAAAUAAAUAGCAGAACACUUCACAGACCACUUUACACAAUAGGCAAUAAUAACAUACAUAAUUUGCAAGCAUAAACACUCAGGUCUACUAAGGGCAGUCACAUGAACAUAAGAGUAAUGAGCAGAUAUUCAUGAAGAAAUAGGUCAAAAAGGGAUGUAUAAACACAUAUCAUUAUGGUCAGUCACUACGUGCACCCAGCUUUAUAACUGUGGUCAUCUGAAAUAUCAUGAUGAACAGCCUAUCUUUUGAGAAGAUCAAUCAAAAAACCACAAUGGGUCACCAGCACAUAAGCAGUUACCCAAACAGCCAAGAUCUUAAGAAAUCUCUUUUACAAAUGCAGAUGUACAAAAAGGACAUCUCUUCGUUUAUUGAAGAAGUUUCAACAUUCCUAUGUAUAUACACAAUGCUUACACACAGUCAACACUGUGAUAAUGCACUCUGGAGUCAAAUCUGCAAA
rnacentral:lncRNA from 10 species